rnacentral:lncRNA from 1 species
ACAAACUCGCCAAUAUCUUUCUUCAAUCUGGGCCACCAAUAUUGUAACAUGUCGAAUUCCCAGUAGGAUGUAUCAAACUUCAGUCAAAUUGAUCAAAGUGUGGUGAUGGACAAGAUGGUGAGGUCCGUGAGUUGUUCCGAAUGCUUCGGAAUGGUUUGGAUAGCUGCUUGGGACCUUAGAGAGCAAAUCGAAAAGUUUCGAGAUGAAUAAGAGUGUUUUUGCUCUUGAGGUUCGGACCCUGGCAGCAAGGUUCGGACCCUAGUUGCGAAACUGUGAAAAUUGCUCUUGGGGUCCGGACCCUGAGUGCAAGAUCAGGACCCUGAACGCGCAGAAAUUUUGGGUGGUUCAAAAUAUCAGUUUUGUGAGGGGCCUUGAUGCAAAUGUCAUUUGGGAGGGUUAAUAUAUGAGUUCUAUACCCUUAGCCCUCAUUUCCCUCACAUGAGACCAAAGAGAAGAAGCUCUCUUUCUCUCUCUAGAACAUUCUCUCACUCUCUAUUCUCUCCCUUUCUUUCUUCCUCUCUCUAGAGUUUGCUCCAAAAGUGGAGCUUGGAGGAGAAGGAAGCUUGCUUGGGAGUGAAGCUAGCUCUUGUGAAGGAGUUGAGGAAGAAACUAGAAGUUGAGGUGAGUUUGUGUGGUUAUGAGGUAGGGUUUGGCUAAAUCUCUUCUAGUUGUUGUUCCUAGAAGAUAUUAUGUUAGAUUGACUUAUGAAUCCCCAAGAAAUUUGGGUAUUUGGUGUUGGUAUAAAACCUAGGGUUAAAAAUGGGAUUUUGUAAGGUAUGAGAUAUAACAUGGGUUUGAUUUCUUGUAGCUAUAAUUAGAGUAUAAACCGAUGCGUUGGAAGACUCGGGUCGAAGUUCCGACGAGUCUACGCAGAGUUGUUGAGGAAAAACCUCAUUUCGGCUUUGUUUGCCAUGGGUCGAGAAAAAUCGGCAACCAUAAAUCGUGAAACUUGGGUUUUAGCACUCCAGCAUCCCUACGAGGUGGGUGGUGCUAUCCGAAACAGUUGGAUUUCUCUUUACCUCUAAGUCACCAUUUGAGUCUGUAUGUGUAGGAUUCAUGCAUUGUAGGGUUAAAUGGUAAACAUGUUGGUACUUAUUGCAUGCUUUUAGUAUAAAGAUGCAUUUGAUUUGACAAUAGAACAUUGGACACUUGGGAACCCUAUAGAUGCAUAACUUGAGAUAAGAACCUAGCCAAGGUCGAAAACAUGGUGACAUUGUGACAAAUGAUUGAAAUAGCACAUUGUGGCAUUGAAUGCUAGUAAAUGGAACACUUUGCGUGUUGUGGCGUUAGUGGACAUGGCAUCCUCAUGGCUUGUGGAUUGGAUCAUACUCACCUAUAGUCUUAUGCUCGAGGGUGGUCGCUCCCCUUCAAGCGAUGAGCUUCAGAGUGGUCAUUACUGGGUCGUAGCGGUAUCUCCCCAGAAGACGGUCCCAUCAGGUCGUAGCGGUAUCUCCCUGAUAGUAGGGAUUUGAUUGGUGAGUUUUGGGGCUAAACCUAUGGGUUAGCCAAGAGGAUUAGGUGUUGACAAAGACAGUCUGCAUGCAUCAUGAGCAUCAUAUAUAUAUUGUUUCAUUAUCCUUGCCCAGGCAUAGUGGCUGCAUUUGUUCAGAAAUGACUAUCUAUCUAUCUGUUUUCUUCUACUCAUGCCUGAUUCGACCUAGUGGAAAAGUCAGCAGGGUCGGCGGCCGAACCCACUAGUAACUUCUUGUAGUUCUCACCCCACCAUUUUUACAGAUCUGAGCGCGAGCGGGGAGGUCGAGGAUCGCGGCAAUGGUAUCGCGCCCUAGAUAGUGGACACCUGUGCAUUAGUCGUACCUUUAUUUCAUUUCUUGUAUAUGACGAAAAGGACGUAUUUUGGGAGAUAAAAUUGUAUAUAAAGACAGAUGUAAAAGAUUUGUAUUUUGGUUAGAUGUAAUCAAGUUUAGUGAAUAGAUGUAAUAGUUAGAAUUUACUUUCACUUGCUCUUGUUACUUGCCUUUGUGCAAGUCAUGUAUAUGUAAUUCUUCUUGGGCAAUUCUUUGUACAUGUUAUGAACUUGUGGGGCCUUGGGCGGACAAAGGAAGCUCUUUCCAUUCGGCGUCUGUGUAAAUGCUCGAACCGACCAAAUUGGCGGUCGCGAGGCGUGACAGAUAAGAUUGUAUUAGAGCAUGGAGAAGUGAAAGUAUCGGGUGGACCUAGGAAACCCUAGGACGGAAACCUUAAGGAUUUAGGGACGUGAGUGACGUGGAAUCAACUUAUAGCGAAAGCUAAGUGGAUUGGGUUAGUUGUUAAUAUGUCUUUAAUAGUAAUUAGGGACUAAUCCAAAUCGAUAUUUGUUCUCAACUCGAGAGGUUAUGUUGGCAGCCAACAUCAUAAUGCCUAGGGAUGAGAAUGGAUCCACUUGAUUGCUUUCGCCUGAUUGGGUUCUAUUUAGGUAUGUCGUAGCGACAUGUGAGCGUCGUAGGUCGAGUGACUGAUGUGGUUGUUACGUUUCAGGAAACGAUGCCAUGCGGUAGACCUCGAACAAGGUCGGGGCCUGAAGAGCCGAAUAUGACCCCCAAACAAUCCGGGGCGAGCGGUGAUGGGGAGCUCUAUAAACAGUUAUCUGCACUUGUGGGAAUAGUGCGACAACAGGCGGAGUCUGUGCAACGCCAGGAGGAACAAAUUAAGCGGCUCCAAGAGGCCUGGGCACAGCAGCAGGCAGCGACAGCUCAGGCGGGCAUCGAGCGACCUGUCUCCCCCUGUCGUGAUACCAAGUACGACAGAGGGUGUGGCGCGACGGCGAUACCAGUUGCGGCACGACCUGCACCGUCGAUGGUGGCAACCGAUUCGGGCACUUCAAAUCCCGAUAGUGUGGCAGUAGAGGCGGAGAGGGAGAGUGCACUCACGACCGUCGUAAUGUUCAAGAAGUUUAACCAGCCAAUGUUCGACGGAAAAAAGGUUGAACCGUGAAUGGUGGAGUCGUGGAUCGACUCGAUGGAGAUACUCUUCAAGGAUCUCUAUACUUUGGAGAAAGAUAAGGUGCACCUUGCAACGCACUGUUUGGAGAAGUCGGUAAAAGUAUGGUGGAAGAAGGUUAAGCGGAACCAACCUUCUAACCUUUCGUCCAUAGUUUGGAAGGAAUUUCGGGGAUUAAUGUUUUCUAAUUAUUUCCCCGAUAGUGAGAAGAAGAAGCUUUAGAAUCAAUUUCGGAAGCUAAGACAAGGAAAUCGCUCGGUGGGAGAAUAUGAGCGGGAGUUUUCUCAAAUUAUCGACUAUGUCCCUGAUGUAGUUCAGGACGACAAGGAUAGGACCGAUUGGUUCGAGAGUGGACUUCGGCCGAAAAUUUACAAGGUGGUGCAUAUCCUCAAACUCACGACUUUUGCGGAGGUGUUGGACCAAGCGUUGUGGGUAGAGCACGGCAAUGCCUAUGCGCGUGUGGAGCGCGAAUCUUUUGAAAAGGAAAGAGACAAAGGAAAGAAGUGGACCGCGAGUAGUACCGGGGGUCAGUCGAGUCCUAGGAGGCCCCCUCGGUAUCCACGAUCGCAGUCGAGGAGCUGGGGACCCAGUCGAUAUGUUAUUUGCGGCGGAGAUCAUCGACCGUCGAGCUGCCCACAGUGUAAGAGGAGGUGUUAUAGGUGUGGCCAGGUUGGACACAUUAGCCGGGAGUGCCCGGGUGGAACAUCGCCUGCCCCCUCAGUUGCAUCAGUCCAGUUCGCCUCGAGACAGCUCGCGGGACUGCUACCUGCUAUGUUAGCUGGAUGCUCAUCCUUGCCGCGUCAGCCAGAGGGAUCUCAAGCGGCGCCGAGUGGUCGAGUUUUUGCUGCCCAAGUGGAGGAGCCUGCCGUAGCUGACGAUGUCGUGGCAGGUAUUGUUCUAAUUAGUGGCAUCAGAACUAGAGCAUUAUUUGACACAGGCACAUCAAAUUCAUUCAUUAGCAUGUCAUUCACUAAAGCUCAUGAUAUUGAAAUUUCGGAGAGUGUGGAUGCUUGGUGGGUCUAUGCACCCGAGCAUACCUUUAGUGUCAAGGAGGAAUGUGUGGCUUAUCUAGUGCAAAUUGGCGAUUGGAUUAUGCCGGCGGACUUACUUGUGUUGAGCCGGAUGAAAGGCUUCGACAUAAUUCUCAGAAUAGAUUGGCUCUCGAAAUAUUAUGCCACCAUUGAUUGCGAAAGCAAGGUAAUCACUUUUCGUGAGCCCGGUCAGCAGGAAGUGGUUUAUCGUGCUUGUAAAGGCUCGCUCUUUGCUAUGACAGUGUCAACGUCGAGAUUGAGGAAGUUGAUCCAAAGUGGAUGUGUAGCCUACUUGGCGUUGGUGGUGGAGACUCGAAAGGAGCUCCCAACGCUAGGGGAUAUUCCGGUAGUGAGUGAAUUUUCGGAUGUGUUUCCCGUGGAAUUACCGGAAUUGCCAUCGAACCGGGAGAUCAAGUUGGUCAUUGACUUAGUUCCCGGAACGGCGCUAAUUUCGAAGGCCCCAUAUAGAAUGGCACCAGCAAAGUUAAGGGAGUUGAAGGCUCAACUGUAAGAUCUGCUCAACAAAGGCUUUGUGAAACCAAGUGUGUUGCCGUGGGGAGCUCCGAUGCUAUCCGUGAAGAAGAAUGAUGGAACGUUUCGGCUAUGCGUGGAUUAUCGCGAGUUGAACAAGGUGACGAUUAAGAAUAAAUACCAAUUGCCUAGAAUUGAUGAUAUUUUCGACCAGUUGCAAGGGUCUUGGGUAUAUUCGAAGAUUGAUCUUCAAUCGGGGUACCACUAGUUGAAGAUCAAGCCGGAGGACGUGCAUAAAAUGACGUUUCGUAUGCGUUAUGGCCAUUAUGAGUUCACGGUAAUGCCGUUUGGGCUUACAAAUUCCCCUGCUGCAUUUAUGAGCUUGAUGAAGCGGGUCUUCCGGCUGUUGUUGAAUCGAUGUGUCGUGGUAUUCAUUGACGACCUAUUGAUCUAUUCUCGGAGUGAUGUAGAGUAUGAGCAGCAUUUGAGGGCCGUGAUGCAAAUUCUUCGAGAAGAGAAGCUCUAUACUAAGCUAAAGAAAUGUGACUUUUGGCUUCAUGAGGUCGCCUUCAUAAGUCAUGUGAUUUUCUUGAGUGGUGUCUCCGUUGACCCAAAGAAAGUUGAGGCAAUUAAAGAUUGGCCUCGCCCGACGAGUGUUGCGGAGAUCCGCAGUUUCCUGUGCCUUGUGGGUUACUAUCGGCGGUUUAUGGAGGGGUUUGCCAAGAUAACUAUCCACUAAUGCGCCUCACGCACAAGAAAACAAAGUAUGUGUGGAGCGAUGAUUGUGAUCCGAGCUUUCGGGAGUUGAAAGCAAGGCUAACUUCGAUCUCUGUACUCGCCCUACCGAUUCAGGGGGAGAGUUUCGUGGUCUAUAGUGAUGCUUCAUAUUGUGGUCUUGGUUGUGUUCUGAUGCAAUGUGGGCGAGUUAUUGCUUAUGCUUCUCGCCAAUUAAAGAGGUAUGAGAAGAACUACUCUAUACAUGACCUUGACCUAGCCACGGUGAUAUUCGCGUUGAAGUUAUGGAGGCACUACCUAUAUGGCGAGCACUGUGAGGUAUAUACCGAUCAUAAAAGCCUUAAGUACUUAUACACCCAGAAGGAGCUGAAUAUGCAGCAACGUCGGUGGUUGGAAUUGGUGAAGGACUAUGAUGUCACCAUUCUUUACCACCCAGGAAAAGCCAACGUAGCGGCCGAUGCACUUAGUGAAAGUCGGUGGAAAAUCUGGCUACAACAAUUACACAUCAACCAUCAUUGCAGAGUGAGAUGCAACGGUUUGGUCUUGAAGUAGUAGCUCCAGAGGUUCCGGCUAUUCUUGCUGCAUUGGUGAUUCAACCAACCUUGUUGGAGAAGAUUCGGGAUCAACAAGCUUUGGAUCUAUAUCUCCAAAAGGUGCGGAGUGAUGUCGAGAGCGGGCGCGCCGGUGAUUUCGGUGUAGAGUCCAAUGGCGCACUUCGAUUUCGAAAUCGUUGGUACGUGCCCAAGGAUGAGGACAUUCGGAAAGCCAUAUUGCAAGAAGUGCAUCAAUCUCCUUGUAGUGUACAUCCGGGCGGCACUAAAAUGUAUAAAGAUUUAAAAGUGCAUUAUUAGUGGCCGGGGAUGAAGAAGGACAUUGGGGAAUUUGUUGCACAGUGUCUGAUGUGCCAACAAGUUAAAGCGGAGCGUCAAUUCCCAGCGGGAAAGCUUCAAAGCUUAUCUAUCCCCAUUUGGAAGUGGGAAGACAUAGCGAUGGACUUUGUGGUGGGAUUACCCCGCUCGCAAGGUGGCCACGAUGCAAUUUGGGUGGUGGUGGAUCGCUUGAUGAAGUCAGCACAUUUUUUGCCGAUCCACACCACUUGGUCCGGAGACAAGUUGGCGCAGGUGUAUCUUGAUGAGGUUGUGAGACUAUAUGGGGUUCCGACAUCUAUAGUAUUGGAUCAAGACCCCCUCAUUCACAUCCCACUUUUGGAAGAGCUUGCAAGAUUCUCUGGGCACACGGCUCGACUUUAGCAUGGCAUUUCAUCCUCAAAGUGAUGGUCAAUCGGAAAGGACGAUACAAAUCCUUGAGGACAUGCUUAGGGCAUGUGUACUUGAUUACAAGGGGGGAUGGCACGAUUGUUUGCCGAUGGCCGAGUUCGCAUAUAAUAAUAGCUACUACGAGAGAAUUGCAAUGGCGCCAUUUGAGGCUCUCUAUGGAAGGAAGCGUCGCUCCCCUAUUCAUUGGAGCGAGGUGGGUGAAAGAGCCAUCCUUGGUCCGAAUGUGUUGCGGGAGGCGGAGGAGAAAGUUCGCCUUGCUCACCAACGGCUCUUGACGGCGCAAACUCGACAGCAAAGUAAUGCUAAUAAGCGCCGGAAAGAUCUUGAGUUCGUAGUUGGAGACCAUGUUUUCUUGAAAGUGUCACCCAUGCGUGGUGUGAAGCGGUUUAGGGUUCGAGAGAAGCUUAGCCCAUGAUUCAUUGAACCAUAUGAGGUCCUGGAGCAUGUUGGUGCAGUGGCAUAUAGACUUGCAUUACUAUUGAGGCUUACGGGAGUUCAUAAUGUGUUCCAUGUAUCCAAUCUCCACAAGUAUACCCAUAACUCCUCUCAUGUCCUGGAGUAUGAACCGGUGGAGUUGCACGAGAAUAUGACCUAUGAAGAAUUCCCGGUGUGCAUCCUUGCUCGAGAAGUGAAGAAAUUGCGGAAUCGUACAAUUCCGUAUGUAAAGGUUCAGCGAAGCAAUCAUGUAAAGCGUGAAGUCACUUGGGAACUCGAGGAGACGAUGUGAAAGACCUAUCCUCAUUUAUUUGAGUGGAUGAGCUAAGGUAUGGAUUUGAGUUUCGUGGACGAAACUAUUUUUAAGGGUGGGAAAUGUAACAUGCCGAAUCCCCAGUAGGAUGUGCCGAACUUCAGUCAAAUUGACCGAAGUAUGGUGAUGGACAAGAUGGUGAGGUCCGUGAGUUGUUCCGAAUGCUUCGGAAUGGUUUGGAUAGGUGCUUGGGACGUUGGAGAGCAAAUCGAAAAGUUUCGAGACGAAUG